UACGUAGGGCGCGAGCGUUGUCCGGAUUUAUUGGGCGUAAAGAGCUCGUAGGCGGUUUGUCGCGUCUGCUGUGAAACUCGAGGCUCAACCUCGGGCUUGCAGUGGGUACGGGCAGACUAGAGUGCGGUAGGGGUGACUGGAAUUCCUGGUGUAGCGGUGGAAUGCGCAGAUAUCAGGAGGAAACACCGAUGGCGAAGGCAGGUCACUGGGCCGCAACUGACGCUGAGGAGCGAAAGCAUGGGGAGCGAACAGG
rnacentral:rRNA from 1 species